GACGAACGCUGGCGGCGUGCUUAACACAUGCAAGUCGAACGGAAAGGCCCUGCUUUUGUGGGUUUCUCGAUUGGCGAACGGGUGAGUAACACGUGUGUAUCCUGCCCUUGACUUUGGGGUAACUUCAGGAAAAUGGGGCUCUUACCGGAUAUGAGCUCCUGCACCACGGUGGGGGUUGGAAAGUUUCGGCGGUUGGGGAUGGUCUCGCGGCUUCUCCGCUAGUUAGUGGGGUAGUUGCUGACGAAGCCUUUGACGGAUAGCCGGCCUGAGAGGGGGAACGGCCACAUUGGGCCUGAGGGACGGCCCAGACGGCUACGGGAGGCAGCAGGGGAGAACAUUGCAGAAUAGGGGGAAGCCAGAGGCAGCGACGCCGCGUGCGGGAUGACGGGCUACGGGUUGUAAACCACUGUCGCCGGUGACGAAGCGUGAGUGACGGUAAUGGGUAAAGAAGCACCGGCUAACUACGUG
rnacentral:rRNA from 1 species